UCUACCUUGCAGGUUUGGCUGGCCGCACCAGGCGCUGGGCAGAAAAAGUAUGGAAGUGUAAGAAAAUUUCCCCCAUUGAAAAUGAAGCUCCUGUUCAAGAUCCGGAGGAGUGCGCAGCGUCGCCUAACAUAGUAAGAGCAUUUCUUUGUCUUGAAGAGAAAUGUUUUUUUCUGGGGCUUCUGGAAUAUCAAGUGAAUAUCAUUUUUGACUGCCAUUGUGAAUCAGGCCUCAGCUGUCAUGGACUCUAGCUACCACUCACUGGAAUCUAUGACCAACCGAGGCCUGAUUGAUGAUGUCGGUCAAAAGAUGACAUCACU